rnacentral:rRNA from 1 species
UGGGGAAUUUUGGACAAUGGGCGAAAGCCUGAUCCAGCAAUGCCGCGUGUGUGAAGAAGGCCUUCGGGUUGUAAAGCACUUUUGUCCGGAAAGAAAUGGCUCUGGUUAAUACCUGGGGUCGAUGACGGUACCGGAAGAAUAAGGACCGGCUAACUACGUGCCAGCAGCCGCGGUAAUACGUAGGGUCCAAGCGUUAAUCGGAAUUACUGGGCGUAAAGCGUGCGCAGGCGGUUGUGCAAGACCGAUGUGAAAUCCCCGAAGUUAACUUGGGAAUUGCAUUGGUGACUGCACGGCUAGAGUGUGUCAGAGGGGGGUAGAAUUCCACGUGUAGCAGUGAAAUGCGUAGAGAUGUGGAGGAAUACCGAUGGCGAAGGCAGCCCCCUGGGAUAACACUGACGCUCAUGCACGAAAGCGUGGGGAGCAAACAGG